rnacentral:rRNA from 1 species
AUGGACGAAAGUCUGACGGAGCAACGCCGCGUGAGUGAUGAAGGUUUUCGGAUCGUAAAGCUCUGUUGUUAGGGAAGAACAAGUGCGAGAGUAACUGCUCGCACCUUGACGGUACCUAACCAGAAAGCCACGGCUAACUACGUGCCAGCAGCCGCGGUAAUACGUAGGUGGCAAGCGUUGUCCGGAAUUAUUGGGCGUAAAGGGCUCGCAGGCGGUUUCUUAAGUCUGAUGUGAAAGCCCCCGGCUCAACCGGGGAGGGUCAUUGGAAACUGGGAAACUUGAGUGCAGAAGAGGAGAGUGGAAUUCCACGUGUAGCGGUGAAAUGCGUAGAGAUGUGGAGGAACACCAGUGGCGAAGGCGACUCUCUGGUCUGUAACUGACGCUGAGGAGCGAAAGCGUGGGGAGCGAACAGGAUUAGAUACCCUGGUAGUCCACGCCGUAAACGAUGAGUGCUAAGUGUUAGGGGGUUUCCGCCCCUUAGUGCUGCAGCUAACGCAUUAAGCACUCCGCCUGGGGAGUACGGUCGCAAGACUGAAACUCAAAGGAAUUGACGGGGGCCCGCACAAGCGGUGGAGCAUGUGGUUUAAUUCGAAGCAACGCGAAGAACCUUACCAGGUCUUGACAUCCUCUGACAACCCUAGAGAUAGGGCUUUCCCUUCGGGGACAGAGUGACAGGUGGUGCAUGGUUGUCGUCAGCUCGUGUCG